rnacentral:rRNA from 1 species
UACGUAGGGGCCAAGCGUUGUCCGGAUUUAUUGGGCGUAAAGGGCGCGUAGGCGGCUCAUGAAGGCUGUGGUGAAAGUCCGGGGCUCAACCUCGGAUCGGCCGUGGCGACUCGUGGGCUGGAGCACUGUAGAGGCGGGUGGAAUUCCGGGUGUAGCGGUGGAAUGCGUAGAGAUCCGGAAGAACACCAGUGGCGAAGGCGGCCCGCUGGGCAGUGGCUGACGCUGAGGCGCGAAAGCGUGGGGAGCAAACAGG